UACGUAGGGAGCAAGCGUUGUCCGGAAUCAUUGGGCGUAAAGCGCGCGUAGGCGGCCUCGUAAGUCCGUUGUGAAAGUCAAAGGCUCAACCUUUGAAAGCCGAUGGAUACUGUGAGGCUAGAGUCCGGAAGAGGCGAGUGGAAUUCCUGGUGUAGCGGUGGAAUGCGCAGAUAUCAGGAAGAACACCCGUGGCGAAGGCGGCUCUCUAGUACGGUACUGACGCUGAGACGCGAAAGCGUGGGGAGCGAACAGG
rnacentral:rRNA from 1 species